GAUGAACGCUGGCGGCGUGCCUAAUACAUGCAAGUCGAGCGAACAGACGAGGAGCUUGCUCCUCUGACGUUAGCGGCGGACGGGUGAGUAACACGUGGAUAACCUACCUAUAAGACUGGGAUAACUUCGGGAAACCGGAGCUAAUACCGGAUAAUAUAUUGAACCGCAUGGUUCAAUAGUGAAAGACGGUUUUGCUGUCACUUAUAGAUGGAUCCGCGCCGCAUUAGCUAGUUGGUAAGGUAACGGCUUACCAAGGCAACGAUGCGUAGCCGACCUGAGAGGGGGAUCGGCCACACUGGAACUGAGACACGGUCCAGACUCCUACGGGAGGCAGCAGUAGGGAAUCGUCCGCAAUGGGCGAAAGCCUGACGGAGCAACGCCGCGUGAGUGAUGAAGGUCUUCGGAUCGGAAAACUCUGUUAUUAGGGAAGAACAAAUGUGUAAGUAACUAUGCACGUCUUGACGGUACCGAAUCAGAAAGCCACGGCAAACUACG
rnacentral:rRNA from 1 species